UAUGGACAUGAUGACGUGAUUACCGCCCCAGACUGAGAAGUCAUGAGUGAUUGGUAACCCCUCUGAACCGUA